rnacentral:lncRNA from 1 species
AGAUUUUAAGGGAACACCGCCCUGCCGAAAAGCUGACCAUUCGAGCUAGCCACACUGUGAAAGGGCCAAGCAAUAACAACCUGAUAUACAUCAGUUGACGAUGAAGGUAUGUGUAUAUACAAUGUGUAGCGGGCUAGCGGCGAUAUCAUCUCAAAUUUCAUGUUUAAGCUUGAUGCAUGCUUUUAUAACUGCCCUGUGAUAUGUGAUAUUUGUUUGAUAUCGAAAGAAAGAAAUGUGCUCAUAUUAUUUUUCUGCUCGUUGAUAUGCACAUGGUUACUGCUCCUAUACCAAUUACAUGGAUAUCCUGAAAUUUGGUGUGCCUAUAUGCUAAUUCAGUUAGGCUUACAAGCAUAUAAAUGCACUAGCUUUUUAAAUAGUAAGAUUUUUUGAUCUAUUUUCCCCCUUUUGACAGAUCAGAUAUGUAACUUUAUCCAUAAGCUUAUUUGCUUCAGAGGUUUAUUGUACUGCUACAGUUUUCUCCACGGUACGGAAUCGAUGCUGGCGACCCCGCCGUUUCCACACCACCCCACGGUAUUUUGAUCCUUACCUUGCGCCCCAAGCCCAGCGCCUAUUCUUAUGUGCAGUAGCCGAAAUUCAUGUGCUUCCCUACUUCAAAUGAAAGGAUCCAUGCUACAUAAAUAAACUAAGUCAUGUUCUUUAGAAGUAUAUGCACUCCUGGACUGAAUGUCGAAACUGUGUUGUAUGUCUUCCUUUAACUGCUCUCUGAUCUCAAAUUUAUUUUCAUUGUAGUAACCAUUUGGGACUUGGAUAUGAAUUAUUUUGUCUGGGCAUUUCAAUUUAUUCGGACAUGGCCGGUUACCGUAUGGUGAACUUAGAUCAACUUAUGCAGACACACAAAAACACAUGCACUUAGACUCAUAUAACUUAGUACAUCACAACAUGAGUUAGGAACAAGUGCAAUGCUGUAAUUUUGAGCGAGCGAGAGAGAGGAGUACAUUACUUAUUCCACUUCUAAGCUACGCUUGUGCCCCUGUUCCUAAUAGUUUCAAACUGAUGUGUUUCUUGCCUUACAUGAAUUGAACCAUGCUACUUUGAAAUCAGAGAGCAGGCAACUAUAGGUUUAGUUUUUAGUUCAAGUAUAGUAUCUGCUAGCUACUGUAUAUGCAACACCACAUUUUGAAUUAUCCAAUAGAAUUAAGUUCAUGUUCAGACUGUUCUAGAUAGCAAACUGUAACAUAUGUGAACCUCUGAUGUACACUAGGAAGCGUUUGUUCAUUAGUAUGGCCAUAUGUGUCGUAGUGGCCAGGACCCUCCGGUGAGCUCAUCCACUCUUUAGUUUUCCACCCCUUUUAACCUUUAAUUUUGUUGGCCUUUCUUAUGGAUUUUCAUUAUUUCUUCUCUUUAUAUUUUCAAAUUGUAAUGGAGAUGAAAUGCACCUUGUUUCUUCUCUUUAUAUUUUCAAAUUGUAAUGGAGAUGAAAUGCACCUUGUUUCUUCUCUUUAUAUGCUCAUGAGGACAGUGCUAUUGCAUCUGAAUCGCCAAGUUGUUGAAGAAUCUGGUCUUUUUGUGCUUGCCUACAAAGCUUUCAUAUCUUAUAUUUGUUGGACAAACAAAAAUAACUGAUGGUUGAUUGUCUCAACCAUCAGUUGAGAACAUAGAGAUUUCCACGAAUGGGCAUUUCUGGACUGUUGAAUAAAAAUAAUAAAAAACAGAUGUAAAUAUAAUUUACUACAUAUAUAUAUAGAUGCGUUUGAUAUCGAAAUAAAGACAUGUGGCCAUAUUAUUCUCGUACUCAUUGAUAUGCAUACAACAGUCUGCUCGUGUAUCUAAUUUUUUUCUUGCUGGAUUGUGGUAUUAUGUGGUUUGCCUUUUCUGUUUUCGGACAAUCCUAUUCUAUCAAUUCAUCAGGAAGAUAUAUGCUUUUAUUACCAAGCCCACCGAGCUUUAACUUGGCCCAGCCCAUCUACAGGAGGAGCACAACAGGAAGGGAUAUAGAGCGACAAAUCCUAUUUUACUGUCGUUUCCCGGUUUCCACAUCGCGGCGACUCGAUCCGCCGCUCUCGGCCACGGCGCUCCCGAAUGAGUCAGAUUUAUCGAGGGACAAGACUGGCAAGUGCUACUCCGUGUCGAUCUUCGAUCGAGGUAGGUAAGAUAUCCUUUCCCAUCCGUUCUUUUCUCUUGCUCUCUUCCAAGAUCUGUUACGCUUCUACAGCUAGGUUGUGGGAGCUAGGAAAAGUACAGGGCCGUUAAGAACAUGAGGCGCUCCCAUUCGGUCGACAAUGGAGGUUUUCUUCGUCCUUGCGAUAUCCAAUCUCCUGUCGCUAAGCAGACCCACGACACAUCCCCUCCUCGCCCCAAUCCCCUCUUCUUGACCAUUUGUGCCUUUAUGUUCUUAUAUUAUGUUAAUAAAACCAUGUACUAAUACUUUCGUUCUGGUAUUGCCAUUGGCAAAAGAAGUUUAAUACACCUGGGCGUUGUUUUGUUCUUGAUCAGAUGUAUGGACGCGCCUAUAACUAAACAUAAAAAUAGGAUAGACACUAAAUUGUUUAAAGCUGCAGAAAUUGAGAACUACACAGAAGCACACUGGACUAACAGUAUAUUUACUACCAUUUUUUCGUGAAUAGAGUAGGGACAAUAAGAUUUGUACUUGAUGUACAGAGUUUCAAUUCUCACAGUAUAUGAGUUGUAUUUGAUCUUUUAUAUGAUCUCAACUUUACUAUUCCUAGUGAAAGUAUGUUUUGCCAGAUUACUAUUAACGCAACUUUGUUUCUCCUAGAGCACUGGUAGCAACCACAUCAUGAAAGGGGCGACGAACGACGAUCCGAUAUGCAUCGCUGACAGCGAAGGUUAAAUUUUAGUGCACUCUCUUGCAACACGAUCAUUUUGUACUAUCUUUUGUACUUGCUACCAUUUCUGUGCUAUUUAUGUAACAUCCUAAUUCUCGCUCCCUCUGUUGCUCUUUGAAAGAUGUUUUACUGGAACGCCAUAUUGGAAUGUUUUGUCUGAUUGCUUCUCCAUGUAAUUGUUCUUCUAUUGAUAUUUUAAAGUUUUCCUCUCAUUAAUGAGUGUAGAAGGAUCGAUAAAGCAAAUUCUUUGAAUGAACAAGCUAAUCUCAUUUUCCGUUGCAACUAGGAAUUUCUAUGGAUAAUUAUGCUAAUAAAUGAGAACAUGGGUGCAUAUAUGUAGUUUUCAAGCCCUUUUGAUUGAGUGAAUGUUGUAUAUUUAUACUGUCAGUUCCGAUUUAGAAACUUCAUCUCAUUCCAAUAUAUCUCACAAGUUUGCAUAUACAGGGAUGAUAAUAUGCCAUAUAUCUCACAAGUUGUUUGCAUUAGGACUGUGCGAAGUGGCGCCUAUGAAAUUUAUCGACAAGGAAGUUGAAUGAAGCCACCUAUUAGUAUGCUUAGUAGCUAUGGCUCUGUAGCUCGGACGAGGAUUUAGAGCUCUCGGGUGCUCCGCGCCCCUAUAUGUACAAUACCAGGGAAAA